CGUCGUUCUCAGGGCGGGGCGAAACUCCCCACCGGCGGUAUGCAGGCAUCAUGACCCGUAAGCCCGCGAGCGGCCCUUUUCCAAGGGUGUCAGCAGAUCUGGUGAGAUGCCAGAGCCGACGGUCAUAGUCCGGAUGAAAGAGAACGUGC
rfam:Tropicibacter litoreus R37 strain CECT 7639 genome assembly, contig: 0001